rnacentral:lncRNA from 1 species
CAAGAAGCAAACUAGCAGAGUAGAUCAUAUCUAAUAAAUUUCUCCAUCUCAACAACAAGAAUAAACAAAGGUAGGACUUUACAAACAAGAACAGUACAUUGCAUACCAACUUGGCCUUGCAACUACGCUAUUUAUAAUGCAACAUUUUGAGUCCUAGUUCCACAAGCUUUCUUCUUGCAUUGUGAACCCAUACUGCCAUUAAUAAGAUGCAACCUCCUACCAGUGCCAACAUCAACAUCUGGGUUUUUUUCUCAACCUUUGAAUUUCUAUCCUCAUUUCCUUGUUGUUUCCUUCGGCUUUCCCUAGUUCCCUUAACAAUUUGGAAAUCGUGUUCUUUGUAUACUCCGGCAAGGGCGGAUUGUACCAUAAAAAAAAUUUGCAACAAUGAGCAGUCUGCAUUCAAAAUUAAUCCAUCAUUAGUAAUAAAACUUAAAUAAAUACACCCUAACCAUUACAAAGAUUAUUAAAAUUUAAGCAUUUGGCUAGUCUUAUUACACCGUAAUUUCUUCAUCCAUUAAACGGAUUUGCUGCAGUCCAAGAAGACACUAUUCUACAGGAUUCUUGGCGAUGGCACUUCAUGAUUUCUCUCCAUUGUAAUAUUCAACUUUUCCUGGGCUAGAUCCUCCGAAAUGUGAACUUCCAUAGGCCUCCUUCCUUGAAGAUCGAUUUGUAGUUGAGCUGGACGAUCCCGCAUCCAAAUUUUCCAUCUGCUAUGCACUUCAAAAGGAUGAACUUGAAUACAUUAUAGUUGUAAGCUGGUAAUUGGGAAUCGGUUUCAAGCCCCUAAUUUCUUCCGCUAUUUGGAUGCGAAAUGGGUUAUGUCUUGAAAACCCCUAAUUUCACAGGCUUCCCCUUAUUUGGAUACAA